UACGUAGGGUGCAAGCGUUAAUCGGAAUUACUGGGCGUAAAGCGUGCGCAGGCGGCUUUGCAAGACAGAUGUGAAAUCCCCGGGCUCAACCUGGGAACUGCAUUUGUGACUGCAUGGCUAGAGUGCGGCAGAGGGGGAUGGAAUUCCGCGUGUAGCAGUGAAAUGCGUAGAUAUGCGGAGGAACACCGAUGGCGAAGGCAAUCCCCUGGGCCUGCACUGACGCUCAUGCACGAAAGCGUGGGGGGCAAACAGG
rnacentral:rRNA from 1 species